rnacentral:rRNA from 1 species
UCAAAGAUUAAGCCAUGCAUGUCUCAGUGCAUGCCGAAUUAAGGUGAAACCGCGAAUGGCUCAUUAAAUCAGUUAUGGUUCCUUAGAUCGUACCCACAUUUACUUGGAUAACUGUGGUAAUUCUAGAGCUAAUACAUGCAAACCAGAGUUCCGACCAGAGAUGGAAGGAACGCUUUUAUUAGAUCAAAACCAAUCGGUGGCGGGUUCGCGCUCGUCCACCGUUUACCUUGGUGACUCUGAAUAACUUUGUGCUGAUCGCACGGUCUCGCACCGGCGACGCAUCUUUCAAAUGUCUGCCUUAUCAACUGUCGAUGGUAGGUUCUGCGCCUACCAUGGUUGUAACGGGUAACGGGGAAUCAGGGUUCGAUUCCGGAGAGGGAGCCUGAGAAACGGCUACCACAUCCAAGGAAGGCAGCAGGCGCGCAAAUUACCCACUCCCGGCACGGGGAGGUAGUGACGAAAAAUAACGAUACGGGACUCAUCCGAGGCCCCGUAAUCGGAAUGAGUACACUUUAAAUCCUUUAACGAGGAUCCAUUGGAGGGCAAGUCUGGUGCCAGCAGCCGCGGUAAUUCCAGCUCCAAUAGCGUAUAUUAAAGUUGUUGCGGUUAAAAAGCUCGUAGUUGAAUCUGUGUGCCACGCUGUCGGUUCAUCGCUCGCGAUGUUUAACUGACAUGAUUGUGGGACGUCCUACCGGUGGGCUUAGCUCGUAAGGGCGGUCCAGCUAAUAUCCCAUCGCGGUGCUCUUUACCGAGUGUCGAGGUGGGCCGGUACGUUUACUUUGAACAAAUUAGAGUGCUCAAAGCAGGCUAUGUUCGCCUGAAUACUGUGUGCAUGGAAUAAUGGAAUAGGACCUCGGUUCUAUUUUGUUGGUUUUCGGAACCCCGAGGUAAUGAUUAAUAGGGACAGAUGGGGGCAUUCGUAUUGCGACGUUAGAGGUGAAAUUCUUGGAUCGUCGCAAGACGGACAGAAGCGAAAGCAUUUGCCAAAAAUGUUUUCAUUAAUCAAGAACGAAAGUUAGAGGUUCGAAGGCGAUCAGAUACCGCCCUAGUUCUAACCAUAAACGAUGCCAGCUAGCGAUCCGCCGAAGUUCCUCCGAUGACUCGGCGGGCAGCUUCCGGGAAACCAAAGCUUUUGGGUUCCGGGGGAAGUAUGGUUGCAAAGCUGAAACUUAAAGGAAUUGACGGAAGGGCACCACCAGGAGUGGAGCCUGCGGCUUAAUUUGACUCAACACGGG